UAACACAUCCGAUAAAACAGAACCAGUAAUAAGAAACCUAUAGAAAGGAUAUUCAUGGAAAAUAGAAUUUGCGUAAUAAUAGUGCCAACUAUGAGAUCAUCAAGGCUAGUUUACACAAUCGUAGAGGGAGCUUAACUGUCGAAUGUCUUUGGUCACCUCUUAAUAAUAUCGAUGCAUUGCGAGUGGGUGCAAAAUCUUGCAAAAUUUUGUUGCACAGUAGCGCGAAAAAAGUGUCGCUGCAGGUUAAAAGGAAAUCGAGGAAAAAAAAAAUCUUUUCGAUUCGAGGAACAAUGUUUGCUUUACGCGUUUCGCUCGACGCUCGGUAACAGAAGUAAUUUAUUAUAACGAUCUAGUGAACAAGCGUAUGGGGAUUAAAUUUUUGCGCAAUCCUCGUUUAUUGAUAGAGGAAGAAGUGCCAUUGCCGAAGGAAAUACAUAGAUGUGGAAUGUUAAAACCAGUAAAUCUUCCAGUUUGAUAAAGACUUAUUUUAAAAAAAGUUACAACAGGUUAAGGAGGAACGCCGUUUCAUCGGAAAAAUGACGAAGAGUUUGAAGAAGAUAAAUUGAACUUAUGUAGAAUUACGUCAUAGACUGAUUAGUGUUUUCAGUCGUCUGUGUUUAAGCGCGCGAUAAGAAUAUAAAUUAUUUCACGAUAUUCUAUUAUGCAGGAGGUCGUCCGGGUUAACCGAAAGGGAUAAGAAUAAUGCAUCGUACAUUCGUUUCUGAAUCACCUCCCGAUGUAAAUGCUGUAUUAUUCUUGUACUAAACGAGAUUCUUAUACUAAUUGUCGAUCGUAAAACUCUCUUCAGUUCCAUUCAGUAAAUUUCAAAAGAAAAAGGAUCUCAUAUUUAUCAGAAUUGUAUAAAAUUGGAACAAUUUUGAAAAAGAAUUUAAUUUAUUUUUAAAGCAAAAAGGGCAGAAAAAAGUUGUAAAAUUAAAACACAAUCUUUAACCCCAUUGUGGGUGACAAAAGUGAUAAAGCAUUAUCUAUAGAUAUAUUUUUAUCGUUUUUUCUAUCCAUUUAAAUACGUAUAUGUAUAUACGUUUAUACGUAUAUAUAUAUCCGUUUCUUUUGCUCAAAGGAAAAAGAUCAAAAGUUC